rnacentral:tRNA from 1 species
GAGUAAUUAGUAUAGUUAUGAGUAUGCUGGCUUGUCAUGCCAGAGGCGCGCCAAUUUUUGACGCAUUAUUCU